AUUGAACGCUGGCGGCAGGCCUAACACAUGCAAGUCGAACGAGUGGCGGACGGGUGAGUAAUGUCUGGGAAACUGCCCGAUGGAGGGGGAUAACUACUGGAAACGGUAGCUAAUACCGCAUACCAUCGGAUGUGCCCAGAGGGGAUUAGCUAGUAGGUGGGGUAAAGGCUCACCUAGGCGAAGAUCCCUAGCUGGUCUGAGAGGAUGACCAGCCAAACGGGAACGGAGACACGGUCCAUACUCCUACGGUAGGCAGCAGUGGGGAAUAUUGCACAAUUGGCGCAAGCCUGAUGCAGCCAGGCCGCGUGUGUGAAGAAGGCCUUCGGGUUGUAAAGCACUUUCAGCGGGGAGGCGUUACCCGCAGAAGAAGCACCGGCUAACUCCGUGCCAGCAGCCGCGGUAAUUC
rnacentral:rRNA from 1 species